GGCUCUUUGCAGGCUGCCUGUCUUGGACAGAAAGGUCGGCUCCCCUGAAACACAUUAGUGGCAUCUGAGCUGCUGCUGUAGGCGUGAUAAAUAUCUAUGCCUCUGGUAUGCUGCAUGAACAGAUCGCGCUGCUCAGAACCAAACUUGAAAAACUUGACAAACUUGACCUCAAAUCAGGUAGGACUACCCGCUGAACUUAA
rnacentral:misc_RNA from 1 species